UUUGUGUUAUGGUAAAAUUUUAACCACUUUAUUACUAAAAAUUUUUUUUAAUAAUUUAUAAAUUGUAUGUAUUCAACUUAUACAAUAAAUCUAUAUUUUUUUCACAUAUCAAAUGUUACUGUUCCGCAACUAUUCCUCCGUUGAUCUAUAUCGUCCGUUCUGUCGUUUGAUUAGAACUGUCCAGUUCUAUAAUUGUCGCCGCGGCCGGUCCCUCGACCCGUGAAGUAUCAAUAACACCUGUUAUUGUUGUCUCUCCGCGAAUCGGUGUGCAGUUUUGAUUAUGUUUACGGCGUAAUGAAAAUCCGAGAUAGAACGACGUCAUGUUGAUUUAACAGGAGGAGAUCACUAGUUUCGGGAGAUAUAUACAGUGAUAUUUCAUGAUCUUUACCAAGUAUGUUCUCAAUAGUGUCUUGUCUACUAUCAACACUAUCAGCUCUAAAAGGUGGCUUGAAGUUCCUGUUAACAUGUCAAACACGACAGCUCCAAAUAACUAUCAAUCACCAAAUUUUCCAUGACCAUUCCGGGUCAAAAUUUCUGGUGCCCUGAUACCUUAAAUUAAUGUUUUUUUUUUUUUUUUUUUAAUUGAUGCUCAAUACAUUUGAUAAACGAUAGAGAUUUCUUACAUGUAUUCAAUUAAACCACAAAAUGUAUGAGUAACAUCACUCCAUGAAUAUGUUCUUUACAUUAACCCAAAUCAGUUAGUUUAAAAAGACCGUCAUAGUCUAAUAAUAUAUUUUCUGGAUUUAAAUCUCUAAAUACACAAAUACUCAAAUAAAAACCAUAGUUUAUACAUUUAAGAAAUAUUAUAACAAAAUAAUAUUUUAUAGUCUUAAAUAUAAAAAAAAGUGAGUACCGCUCUGCUGUACAUUAGGUGCCGUAUGGAUCAUUAUUAUAUAUUAUAGGAGUGUUAAAUUUGAAUCCAAUGAUAGUUAUCAUUGUAUACGAAAAACGAUUCUGAACGAAGAUGAUUUGUCAGCCUAGGAUAUAAUUUCCAGUGGUUGGUGAAAAAGGUGGUUUAUAUUUUAACGGCCUGAAUACACCAAAAUUUAAGUUCUGUUUUAAUUAUUGUAAGCUAAACUUAUGAGAAAUCUUGUAUUAAAUUUUCAACUCUUAGCUACUUAUACAAAAAUUUUUAUGAAAUAUAUCUACAAAAUAAUUUCCAAGUAUUAUAAUUUUUUAAUCACUAUAAUAAUAACUUAUGAGGAACUUUGCAUUAAAUUUUCAAGUAUUUUGAUAGGGCCAAAAAGAUUUUAUCGACACAUAAAAAAACAAUUUUCAGAAAAAUUGAAAAUUUCAGUUGUCUAUAAAUAGCUCAAAAAAAGUCAAAAUAUUU